rnacentral:rRNA from 1 species
UACGGAGGGUGCAAGCGUUAUCCGGAUUUAUUGGGUUUAAAGGGUGCGUAGGCGGUUAUAUAAGUCAGCGGUGAAAUUUUUCGGCUCAACCGGAAACAUGCCGUUGAUACUGUAUAGCUUGAAUAUGGUUGCUGUGAGUGGAAUGUGUAGUGUAGCGGUGAAAUGCUUAGAUAUUACACAGAAUAUCGAUUGCGAAGGCAACUCACAAAGCCAUUAUUGACGCUGAGGCACGAAAGUGUGGGGAUCAAACAGG